UACAGAGGGGGCGAGCGUUGUUCGGAAUUACUGGGCGUAAAGGGCGCGUAGGCGGCCUGUUAAGUCGAACGUGAAAUCCCCGGGCUCAACCCGGGAACUGCGUCCGAUACUGGCAGGCUUGAAUCCGGGAGAGGGAUGCGGAAUUCCAGGUGUAGCGGUGAAAUGCGUAGAUAUCUGGAGGAACACCGGUGGCGAAGGCGGCAUCCUGGACCAAUUCUGACACUGAGGAGCGAAAGCCAGGGGAGCAAACGGG
rnacentral:rRNA from 1 species